GCAACAGUUACCUCCACUGACCGGGAGUCUCUGACAUCCACGCGGGACUUGAGGACCUUUAACCGGCCAGUCUGAGGAGGCAGACUCACCGUGACGGAAAACGGAGCUUUUCGAGUCUGUCCGCUUCUAACAGCUCACCACAGAUGUCGUUUGAUCCUCCCACUGCUGCUGCUUAUGGGAAUCAACAACAACAACAGCGGCAGACAACACUUGGCUGUCUUCACUCCAUCAGUUCCUGAACAUUUGUGUGCUGUGGUGCAGCAGUAGAGCGGUUGGCUUCCGAUCAGAAGAUUGCAAACUUUGGUUCCUGCUCUGUCCUCACAUGUGUAGAAGGGUCCUUGGGCAAGACAUUGAACCCCACAUUGCUCCUGGUGGUGAAAGCAAGGUCACCAGAGAUGUUUGCUCCUGCCAGGAUCCCAGUGGCUGCUGGGAAGAAAAUGGCAAACACGGAGAAGAAGGUUUCCUCAUCCCUAAAAUCUGGUCCAAAGUUCUCCACGAGAAGGGCAGCUGUCAGAGAGCAGAGUCAAAACAUAGGAAAAUUACACUUAAAAUAAUGAUGGCAUGAAGGUUCCUAUGAAGAAGUUGGCGAUGGCUCCCAACAGGAUCACCAAGAGGACAAUCUGAGCCUGAUGGACGAAGAAAAUGAAAGUAUAAAACAUUUUAGUCUUCAUCUCCACCUUGGCUUCCCACUCCAUUCCGGCCACAGAGAUUCCCAGCAGCAGGAUGACGGUCAGAGUCCCGACGAUGCGAAUGUCAUUCAACUCGUCAGUCAUCAGAGCGUCCACGUCCUGCAGACACAAAGCCAACAACGUACAUGGCCACAGCCACUGCAUUGGCAAAGGCAAAGAUGAGCCCGAUGGAGCCUCCAAACUCUGGCCCAAGACUCCUGGAGAUGAGGCUGUAGGUGCAGCAGAAGCCUCACUCUCACCUCCUCGGACAAAGCCGUUGGUUGCAAUAGCAGAAGUUGACAGACCGGUGAUGGUGGUGACCAGAGUGGCCAUCAGAAUAAUUGCAAUUGUGAGUCCUGUUUUAAAAAACAA